GACGAACGCUGGCGGCGUGCCUAAUACAUGCAAGUAGAACGCACAGUUUAUACCGUAGCUUGCUACACCAUAGACUGUGAGUUGCGAACGGGUGAGUAACGCGUAGGUAACCUGCCUGGUAGCGGGGGAUAACUAUUGGAAACGAUAGCUAAUACCGCAUAAUUUUAAUUAUUGCAUGAUAAUUAAUUGAAAGGUGCAAUUGCACCACUACCAGAUGGACCUGCGUUGUAUUAGCUAGUAGGUGAGGUAACGGCACACCUAGGCGACGAUACAUAGCCGACCUGAGAGGGUGAUCGGCCACACUGGGACUGAGACACGGCCCAGACUCCUACGGGAGGCAGCAGUAGGGAAUCUUCGGCAAUGGACGAAAGUCUGACCGAGCAACGCCGCGUGAGUGAAGAAGGUUUUCGGAUCGUAAAGCUCUGUUGUAAGAGAAGAACGGGUGUGAGAGUGGAAAGUUCACACUGUGACGGUAUCUUACCAGAAAGGGACGGCUAACUACGUG
rnacentral:rRNA from 1 species